rnacentral:rRNA from 1 species
UCCUACGGGAGGCAGCAGUGGGGAAUUUUCCGCAAUGGGCGAAAGCCUGACGGAGCAAUACCGCGUGAGGGACGACGGCUUUUGGGUUGUAAACCUCUUUUCCCUGGGAAGAAGAUCUGACGGUACCAGGGGAAUCAGCAUCGGCUAACUUCGUGCCAGCAGCCGCGGUGAUACGAGGGAUGCAAGCGUUAUCCGGAAUUAUUGGGCGUAAAGCGUCCGCAGGUGGCUUUGUAAGUCUGUCGUUAAAGCGUGGAGCUCAACUCCAUAUCGGCGAUGGAAACUACAAGACUAGAGUUUGGUAGGGGUCACGGGAAUUCCUAGUGUAGCGGUGAAAUGCGUAGAUAUUAGGAAGAACACCAGCGGCGAAAGCGCGUGACUGGGCCAAUACUGACACUCAUGGACGAAAGCUAGGGGAGCGAAAGGGAUUAGAUACCCCAGUAGUCA